rnacentral:rRNA from 1 species
GAUGAACGCUAGCGGCAGGCUUAACACAUGCAAGUCGAGGGGCAGCAUAGAGGUUAGCAAUAACUUCUGAUGGCGACCGGCGCAAGGGUGCGUAACGCGUGAGCAACUUGCCCUUAUCAGGGGGAUAACCAAUGGAAACGUUGACUAAUACCCCAUAGCAUAACUUUGAGGCAUCUCUUAGUUAUUAAAGAAUUUCGGAUAAGGAUAGGCUCGCGUGACAUUAGCUAGAUGGCGGGGUAACGGCCCACCAUGGCGACGAUGUCUAGGGGUUCUGAGAGGAAGGUCCCCCACACUGGAACUGAGACGCGGUCCAG